rnacentral:rRNA from 1 species
GACGAACGCUGGCGGCGUGCCUAAUACAUGCAAGUCGAACGCACUCUCGUUUAGAUUGAAGGAGCUUGCUCCUGAUUGAUAAACAUUUGAGUGAGUGGCGGACGGGUGAGUAACACGUGGGUAACCUGCCCUAAAGUGGGGGAUAACAUUUGGGAACAGAUGCUAAUACCGCAUAAAACCUAACACCGCAUGGUGUAGGGUUGAAAGAUGGUUUCGGCUAUCACUUUAGGAUGGACCCGCGGUGCAUUAGUUAGUUGGUGAGGUAAAGGCUCACCAAGACCGUGAUGCAUAGCCGACCUGAGAGGGUAAUCGGCCACACUGGGACUGAGACACGGCCCAGACUCCUACGGGAGGCAGCAGUAGGGAAUCUUCCACAAUGGACGAAAGUCUGAUGGAGCAACGCCGCGUGAGUGAAGAAGGUUUUCGGAUCGUAAAACUCUGUUGUUGGAGAAGAAUGUAUCUGAUAGUAACUGAUCAGGUAGUGACGGUAUCCAACCAGAAAGCCAACGG